AGCCAGUGAUGUAAGCAAAUAUUUGCUACUCUUGAUUGGAGAACUAGUUUCUUCAUAUGAUGAUUAUUAUCCAUCAAGAUCUCUGAGGCU